AAAGAUUAAGCCAUGCAUGUCUAAGUAUAAGCAAUUAUACAGCGAAACUGUGAAUGGCUCAUUAUAUAAGUUAUCGUUUAUUUGAUAGUACCUUACUACUUGGAUAACCGUGGUAAUUCUAGAGCUAAUACAUGCUAAAAAUCCCGACUUCGGAAGGGAUGUAUUUAUUAGAUUAAAAACCAAUGCCCUUCGGGGCUCUCUGGUGAUUCAUGAUAACUUCUCGAAUCGCACGGCCUUGUGCCGGCGAUGGUUCAUUCAAAUUUCUUCCCUAUCAACUUUCGAUGUUUGGGUCUUGGCCAAACAUGGUUG
rnacentral:rRNA from 2 species